UAUAAAAAUAAAAGGAACAUGUCGCCUUUUCUUCAGCCCCGAGCAGCUGCGCCGCCAGAGCUCGCGAACCUUACCGCAACCUCGACUCCUCCGCGUCCGGUGCGCUGCCGGAGCAUCCGUCGCCUGCCGGCGAGCUCACAAGCGAGCAGCAUCCGCCCUCUCCUGCGUUGCCUUUUUCCCGUCCUUCCCUGCUCCUCUCUCACCUCUCUCUGCCUUGCCUCCACAGGAACAUCGGGAUGUCGCCGGCAUGCGGAACGAAGCCGCCCCAACUGGAUCCACGCCCUCCGCCAUCGCCCGCUCUCCCGCCGUCCUUCCUCACCUCGAAUUGGUCAUGCCGGUAGCCGUCGUUGCCAGAUCCUAGCUUGGUCGCCCGGUAGAAGAUCCAGCACCCUAUGCCUUGCCACCUCACGCCUCUCACCGUCGAGGGCGGCAGGAACGACGGAGUCGUGCAUGUGUCGGCUCCUAUGUGGUGCGUGCGGAGCCACCGGCCCGCGGAACGGCUGCAGGCCUGGAGCGCGCCCUGCCUCGAGCGACACGCAUGCAUGGUUGGCGGCCGAGACAUCAGAGGAGCUUCAGCAGAAACAAGGCUGCCGAGCCAAAUUUGCUGAACUAGGCUGCCAAGUUUGAGGUAAAAAAAUCAGCAGGGAAGUAUCUAUCCUGAAUUUUCUGCAGUACAUAAAUUUACCCAUAGAAUAUAUCUCUAAUAGUACCCUGUCCAAAAUGUUAGUGCUAUUUUUGCAAUUUUGCAAGCGAAAUUUGUGCCAAGUGCAUUGCUUAAUAUAUCUCUAAUAGUAUCUGUCCAUUGCUAUUUCCGAGAUCUUCCAUCAAUUUCUAUUACAAUAGAAAAAUGGUCUCUGUCACAUAUAUAGUAUGCACUAGGAAAUCAUGAUUCAUGGGCAGAUGAUAUAUACAAUGGUUGAUAACAAUUACUUCAGGGUCUCCAUUCUACUAUUUUUUACAUACUCAACAAAUUUGUGACAUCUGAUCUGGUAGAGAAAACAGUCUAUGAUAUUCUAUUCUUACCUACACAUAAUUCCGUAUUGAUGACUUAGCAUUCAACAUGGUUCAGUUUCUAGCCUGUAUACAUCAGUAUUAUUAUGAGCCACCUAGAAAGUUUUUGGUCUUUUAGUUUCAGUUAUAGUCAUGGACUGGGCACAAUUCACAGAAUAAGAAAAUGUAUCAAGCAUUAAUUUUAUAUGCGUGAAGCAUUUUACAAUUAAUUUCUACUAUGGAAAAAGCAUUCAUCAGCUAGCUGAACAAACAGACAUUGUAUGACAAUGCGAAUAAGCACACUAAAUGUUACAAGUCAUAGUACUUCCAAGCUAUUUUUACAAAUGCAUUUCACUGGACUAUGUUCUGAUUACCUUUUUCUUAAGCUUCAUAAGGUUAUUUUGGAUUCAAAUGACAAUCUGCAACUUUUCAUAUUUUUUAAUAGUACUGAGGACCAAAUUUAGAAAAUUCUAAACGGGUGGUGAGUUCAAUCAGGUGAAAAAUUGUAGGUCGAACAUGAAAGGAUGCACAUUCAUUUUUGAAGUUGAAAAUAAUGUUUCAUGAAGCAAACUUGAGGUAUCAAUCAAGUCUCACUUUUUUUAUUUGUAUAAUUGGUUGACAUAUGAGAUGCCUUAGGAUGUCUCAUAGUGAUACUCAUGAUUUUUUGUUGUGCAAAAAAAUAUAGUAUACACCAAGAGUUGUAUAAAUCUGUAAAGGGUAACAUACCUGCAGUACAAGAAAUUAUAAGAAGUAAAUAGCAUCGAAAGGAAACAAUCGUUGCUUUUUUUUGGAUGGAAAUAGGUGAGAUCUAUUAAGCAAUAAUAGGGUUAGGAAUGAUGGUUGCUGAUAGCUAUACAUUUUUAUGGAUAGUCAUAUACCUGGAUGUCAUCCUUCAAACAUGAAUACCUGAAUUCUUAUAGAACAUAAAUGAUAUUGUUUAGUUGUCCUUUCUAGAGUCUCUUUUGCGUCAUGGUAUAUCUGUUAUCGAGAAUGAUGCUCAGAAAAUUCUUCGUUCCUUGCCAAAUGACAUUUUGUUUUGACUCGAUAACACCAGGUAACAUGGUGGAUGUCGCAACACACAACAGUUAAAAUGUAGCGACAUAGAGAUAUGAAAGGGCAAAUCAUCUUAGCUAUAGUGUAUGGACAAAAUAGCAUUGAUUAAUGAUGCUGAGAGCUAGCUCUUGCCGCAUUAUCAUCUAUCUAUAGCUUUCAAGGACCAGUAAUUGUACGAUUGUAUCAUGUGAUUGGUACUACAAAAUAUAAAAUCUUUGUGUAUUAAUAUCUUAAUUUCAAGAUUAAUUGGAGAAAGGAGUGUCCUCUACGUUUUCCAAUCUGUCAGUCAAUGUGUAAAUCUGGUAUUGAUGUACAGUUAUUAUUAAGAAAGUUUUCUUUUGCAGAUAUAAUGCUAAUGAUAGGAAGCGUGGUCUAAAACUGCUCUGGCUGGAGUUGUAUGCUUUGUGACUGAAGACUAGAGCUUGGUGUCAUGGUGACUUGCAGCCACUCCUGAUGGUCCUGCCACCCAACUUUUACUCUCCCGAAUUUCCUUAUUUUCAUAUUAACACUGCUAUUGGGGUCAAUCUAUGUUGUUUACUGCUCUAAUCAAGCUAUUGCUAGGAUUCCAUGUUUCCUACAUUGUAUUAUACUGAUCAUUAGUAAUUCAACCUACAUUGUAUUAUAAUGGUCAUUAGUUGAAUGUUGAUUCUGUGAUAAUCUUAAUACAUCCAUGGCUGUCGAGGAAAUAGGGAAAAUGUAUAAACUGGUGAAAUAUCACACAUUAACCUCUUCCUAGAUUUGAGCUAAGAUCAUAUGGGUUCGGCCGUGCAUGUCCAUACACAGUGCAUCGGGUUAAUGUGCCUGAAGCGAAAGGACUCAUGACAUAUUGACGAAGUGCACAUGUUGAGUUAAAAAUGUGUACAUUUGUUUUUUCUAUUACGAAACAUUUGAUGAUUUUUUGUUUUGAUCUUAAUCAAAAUGCUACAGAAGCAAGUCAAGGUUUAGUUACUGUAAUUUUACUUACUGCUAUUCCACUCUGUUCUCUAGAAAGAAAAAUAAAUUAUGGAUGAAUUGCAGUGAUAAGCUAUCAAAAGAGACAUACAUUUACUUAUAUCGCUCAAUAUUCAAUUGAUCGAUUAGUUUUUAGUUACGAAAGUGUGAUGUUUCAAAACUGAAAAACGAACUAUUGGUUUAGUAAUUAAUUACAAAACACAACUAAGCAUGGAAAGAAGUGGAUAAUUGUUUUGGCGUCACCUACUUAUGUAAUAUUUGUUCCUGUAUGCACAUUUCUUUCUCUUUUCCAGUUAUGUGACAUGAUUGUCUGAAGUUUAAUGCAACCCUCAAAAUGUUUCUUGACUGAAUGUUUUCUUUAUGAGGUUGCAUUCGUGCAAACAAGAAAAUUCAUUGUGCUAGAUUGGCCUGCAGGUAAUAUCAAUGUAAUAUCUCUUAUGAGUUACGAUAGAUGUUCUCGGUCUGUACAUCUUCCACUAAAGUACUAUUUUUUGUCUCUCACCGAUUUGUGGUACAACAAUUAGCAACAUCAAUCUAAUCUAAUCAAAUAAAUAGAGGAUGCAAGUAGUAGAUAUUGGAUGUAGUUAUAAUACUUUAAAAGACUAGUGUUGCUACCUUGAGAACUUUGUUCUCCUAUAUGCAAACAUAUAAUUAACAUCAUAUAUCCAUACGCAGAUAGAUGUCAUUUCUUCAACUGUGCUUGGCCUAAAAAUUACUGAUCUAUGUACGUGGAGAAUAAAAGAUAGUUUGAAUGUGCAGCUCAAUUGUAAACCAUAUCUAUUUGGGCCUUCAAUGUGUGGAUUAUAUAUCAUUUGAUAUUUAUGACAAUGAGUGAAUGCUUCAUGCAUCAGUAUAUUAUACUGGGCUUUUGAUUCAAAUACGAAUUUCUCCAACUAUCUUUUGUGCCCAAUGUAGUCUCUUCCUCAGCGUUGGGGAGUUCGGAUGGUUAUCAGAAUCAAUUGGGGCAUGCUCUCAACAACACUAUUCACAUGGUUGAGGUGGCAGAGCAGCUAAGCUAGAUGGUGACCUCACCCUAUAGAUGGAGGCGAGCCGCAGAGGGCCUUGCCACGGCAUUGUGAAGGAAAUCAAUAAUUACUUAUUCCUAGUUUGUUGUUUUAUAAUUAGUAGUACCUAUAUUUACUCAAUAAACGAGAAAGUCCGAUGCAUUGCUCAUGAUCCCCUUUUGUGGGGUUGUAAUCUUGAUGAAGAAAGAAAUGUAUAUUUGCGCUGUAAAAUGUUUCUUUGCCUUUUGGUGGUCUGGCCAUGCAAAACACUCAA